AUUGAACGCUGGCGGCAGGCUUAACACAUGCAAGUCGAGCGGUAGCACAGGGGAGCUUGCUCCCUGGGUGACGAGCGGCGGACGGGUGAGUAAUGUCUGGGAAACUGCCUGAUGGAGGGGGAUAACUACUGGAAACGGUAGCUAAUACCGCAUAACGUCGCAAGACCAAAGAGGGGGACCUUCGGGCCUCUUGCCAUCAGAUGUGCCCAGAUGGGAUUAGCUAGUAGGUGGGGUAAUGGCUCACCUAGGCGACGAUCCCUAGCUGGUCUGAGAGGAUGACCAGCCACACUGGAACUGAGACACGGUCCAGACUCCUACGGGAGGCAGCAGUGGGGAAUAUUGCACAAUGGGCGCAAGCCUGAUGCAGCCAUGCCGCGUGUGUGAAGAAGGCCUUCGGGUUGUAAAGCACUUUCAGCGAGGAGGAAGGUGGUGAACUUAAUACGUUCAUCAAUUGACGUUACUCGCAGAAGAAGCACCGGCUAACUCCGUGCCAGCAGCCGCGGUAAUACGGGAGGUGCAAGCGUUAAUCGGAAUUACUGGGCGUAAAGCGCACGCAGGCGGUUUGUUAGUCAGAUGUGAAAUCCCCGGGCUCAACCUGGGAACUGCAUUUGAAACUGGCAAGCUAGAGUCUCGUAGAGGGGGGUAGAAUUCCAGGUGUAGCGGUGAAAUGCGUAGAGAUCUGGAGGAAUACCGGUGGCGAAGGCGGCCCCCUGGACGAAGACUGACGCUCAGGUGCGAAAGCGUGGGGAGCAAACAGGAUUAGAUACCCUGGUAGUCCACGCUGUAAACGAUGUCGAUUUGGAGGUUGUGCCCUUGAGGCGUGGCUUCCGGAGCUAACGCGUUAAAUCGACCGCCUGGGGAGUACGGCCGCAAGGUUAAAACUCAAAUGAAUUGACGGGGGCCCGCACAAGCGGUGGAGCAUGUGGUUUAAUUCGAUGCAACGCGAAGAACCUUACCUACUCUUGACAUCCAGAGAACUUAGCAGAGAUGCUUUGGUGCCUUCGGGAACUCUGAGACAGGUGCUGCAUGGCUGUCGUCAGCUCGUGUUGUGAAAUGUUGGGUUAAGUCCCGCAACGAGCGCAACCCUUAUCCUUUGUUGCCAGCGGUUCGGCCGGGAACUCAAAGGAGACUGCCAGUGAUAAACUGGAGGAAGGUGGGGAUGACGUCAAGUCAUCAUGGCCCUUACGAGUAGGGCUACACACGUGCUACAAUGGCAUAUACAAAGAGAAGCGACCUCGCGAGAGCAAGCGGACCUCAUAAAGUAUGUCGUAGUCCGGAUUGGAGUCUGCAACUCGACUCCAUGAAGUCGGAAUCGCUAGUAAUCGUAGAUCAGAAUGCUACGGUGAAUACGAACCGGGGCCU
rnacentral:rRNA from 1 species